UUCACAUUUUUUAACUUCUUAAAAAAUUUUUUGUUGUUGUUCAGAAACAAAGAUAGGCUCACCAGGUGACUUUUCAAACUUGUCAUUCCAAAGACUUCUAAGACUUUAAAAUGUUUAAAUAAGCAGUUUCCAAAGUGAUUAGAAGUACACUUAGCAUACUCAGUGUCCUUUUAAAAGGUCUGCUGCAAUUGCGAGUUUAAUGAUUGAUCGUUUUGUCUCUUGGCACUCAAAGUCACUGGAGAUUGCUAUCCAAUCUCUUAGUCUUUGCAGCAUUCAUCAUCUCCAUAUAUAGAUCUAUUUUAUAUAUCUGAAUAAUUUAUAUAAUAGACAUUUUAACUUCACAACAAUCCUAUUAGGCACAGAGGAAAAGUGUAUUGUGUAAGACGACUCAAGGACCUCAUCACUGUAAACAUUGGGAGUCUUUAAACGAAGUUGAUCUUGUGCUAUUGAUGGUAACCUACGAUGGCCCACUGUUUUCUUACAGGAUCCAGGCAACACUCGAGAUUUGAUCAAACACUUCAGCAGUUACAGCUUCUUUGAUGCAGGAGUUGGGAGAAACAGGAGGAAUGCCAUGUUUAAUUUGUUUUUGGGCAAGUUGAGGAUUCCUUUGCUCCAAAUCUUCAUCAUCACUAAUGAAA